rnacentral:rRNA from 1 species
GCCUAACACAUGCAAGUCGAACGGUAACAGAAAGCAGCUUGCUGCUUUGCUGACGAGUGGCGGACGGGUGAGUAAUGUCUGGGAAACUGCCCGAUGGAGGGGGAUAACUACUGGAAACGGUAGCUAAUACCGCAUAACGUCGCAAGACCAAAGAGGGGGACCUUCGGGCCUCUUGCCAUCGGAUGUGCCCAGAUGGGAUUAGCUAGUAGGUGGGGUAAAGGCUCACCUAGGCGACGAUCCCUAGCUGGUCUGAGAGGAUGACCAGCCACACUGGAACUGAGACACGGUCCAGACUCCUACGGGAGGCAGCAGUGGGGAAUAUUGCACAAUGGGCGCAAGCCUGAUGCAGCCAUGCCGCGUGUAUGAAGAAGGCCUUCGGGUUGUAAAGUACUUUCAGCGGGGAGGAAGGGAGUAAAGUUAAUACCUUUGCUCAUUGACGUUACCCGCAGAAGAAGCACCGGCUAACUCCGUGCCAGCAGCCGCGGUAAUACGGAGGGUGCAAGCGUUAAUCGGAAUUACUGGGCGUAAAGCGCACGCAGGCGGUUUGUUAAGUCAGAUGUGAAAUCCCCGGGCUCAACCUGGGAACUGCAUCUGAUACUGGCAAGCUUGAGUCUCGUAGAGGGGGGUAGAAUUCCAGGUGUAGCGGUGAAAUGCGUAGAGAUCUGGAGGAAUACCGGUGGCGAAGGCGGCCCCCUGGACGAAGACUGACGCUCAGGUGCGAAAGCGUGGGGAGCAAACAGGAUUAGAUACCCUGGUAGUCCACGCCGUAAACGAUGUCGACUUGGAGGUUGUGCCCUUGAGGCGUGGCUUCCGGAGCUAACGCGUUAAGUCGACCGCCUGGGGAGUACGGCCGCAAGGUUAAAACUCAAAUGAAUUGACGGGGGCCCGCACAAGCGGUGGAGCAUGUGGUUUAAUUCGAUGCAACGCGAAGAACCUUACCUGGUCUUGACAUCCACGGAAGUUUUCAGAGAUGAGAAUGUGCCUUCGGGAACCGUGAGACAGGUGCUGCAUGGCUGUCGUCAGCUCGUGUUGUGAAAUGUUGGGUUAAGUCCCGCAACGAGCGCAACCCUUAUCCUUUGUUGCCAGCGGUCCGGCCGGGAACUCAAAGGAGACUGCCAGUGAUAAACUGGAGGAAGGUGGGGAUGACGUCAAGUCGUCAUGGCCCUUACGACCAGGGCUACACACGUGCUACAAUGGCGCAUACAAAGAGAAGCGACCUCGCGAGAGCAAGCGGACCUCAUAAAGUGCGUCGUAGUCCGGAUUGGAGUCUGCAACUCGACUCCAUGAAGUCGGAAUCGCUAGUAAUCGUGGAUCAGAAUGCCACGGUGAAUACGUUCCCGGGCCUUGUACACACCGCCCGUCACACCAUGGGAGUGGGUUGCAAAAGAAGUAGGUAGCUUAACCUUCGGGAGGGCGCUUACCACUUUGUGAUUCAUGACUGGGGUGA